GUGAAUUUAGGGUGACUAUUCGUAGUGCCCGACCUCCACUUCUAACACUGUGCACUUAUUGGCAAUGUAGCUGAGAAUAGUAAGGAUGGCGUUCUGCGCCUCACGAACUUUGAAGCUCUUUGCGGCUUUUUAUUUUAUAACUCCAAGUUAAAGAAUGUAAAACAAAUAUAAAACAAAAAA
rnacentral:misc_RNA from 1 species